rnacentral:rRNA from 1 species
UAGGGAAUCUUCCACAAUGGACGAAAGUCAGAUGGAGCAACGCCGCGUGAGUGAAGAAGGGUUUCGGCUCGUAAAACUCUGUUGUUAAAGAAGAACAUAUCUGAGAGUAACUGUUCAGGUAUUGACGGUAUUUAACCAGAAAGCCACGGCUAACUACGUGCCCG